rnacentral:rRNA from 1 species
CCUACGGGAGGCUGCAGUGGGGAAUAUUGCACAAUGGGCGAAAGCCUGAUGCAGCAACGCCGCGUGAGCGAUGAAGGCCUUCGGGUCGUAAAGCUCUGUCCUCAAGGAAGUUAAUGACGGUACUUGAGGAGGAAGCUCCGUCUAACUACGUGCCAGCAGCCGCGGUAAUACGUAGGGGGCUAGCGUUAUCCGGAAUUACUGGGCGUAAGGGGCGCGUAGGUGGUUUCUUAAGUCAAGGAUGAAAGGCUACGGCUCAACCGUAGUAAGCCUUUGAAUCUGGGGAACUUGAGUGCAGGAGAGGAGGGUGGAAGUCCUGGUGUAGCGGUGAAAUGCGUAGAUAUUAGGAGGAACACCAGUUGCGAAGGCGGCUCUCUGGACUGUAACUGACACUGAGGCACGAAAGCGUGGGGAGCAAACAGGAUUAGAUACCCCUGUAGUC